UGGGGAAUAUUGCACAAUGGGCGCAAGCUUGAUGCAGCGACGCCGCGUGGGGGAUGACGGCCUUCGGGUUGUAAACCUCUUUCAGUACCGACGAAGCGAAAGUGACGGUAGGUACAGAAGAAGCACCGGCCAACUACGUGCCAGCAGCCGCGGUAAUACGUAGGGUGCGAGCGUUGUCCGGAAUUACUGGGCGUAAAGAGCUCGUAGGUGGUUUGUCGCGUUGUUCGUGAAAACCGGGGGCUUAACCCUCGGCGUGCGGGCGAUACGGGCAGACUGGAGUACUGCAGGGGAGACUGGAAUUCCUGGUGUAGCGGUGGAAUGCGCAGAUAACAGGAGGAACACCGGUGGCGAAGGCGGGUCUCUGGGCAGUAACUGACGCUGAGGAGCGAAAGCGUGGGGAGCGAACAG
rnacentral:rRNA from 1 species